UUUCCACUAGAACGAUUUCCUUUCCCCACACGGCAAUUCAGAUUUCCCCUUCUACGGACUUUUUUCCCCUCAAAAAUUAUUUUGCUGUAGUUUUGACACCACACGCCACACCUAAAAUUUAUAGUUUAUUUAUCGUUCUUCUUCUAUAGUCUAUUGUAUUAAUAUUAUUAUUUACACAAAAUUCGUCAACAAAAUCAUCGACAGUCGACUUUGCAGAUUACUACUAUUAUUUUGAUAUAGCUGCACAUCACUAGCUAUCAAUUUCCUUACUGUUGGUACUACUUGUUCUAUGGUGGUUGGUACGGUGAUCCAUUCAAAUAAAUAAUCACAGCUAGAAAUAUUUAUUGCGACGGUUGUUUAAUGUGAAAAGAAAUGGAUCGGUGGCUAAUAAAUACUGCUGCUAAAAAAUCGAAUGAAGAAAAGAUUCCUCUGAGCUCAUCCGAAAGACCCGGCACUAGUACAUGCUCUUAUGAACUUCAACCCGGAACGAGUUUUCAGUCCAUUAGUUAUGUCGAGGAUCAGAAAGAACAAUUAGAUCCUCAAACUUCGUCAGUAAUGGAAAUCGAAAAUGAAAAAUCGGUUGAUAACUGUACUGAAGACGAAGAAGAGGGAUACAAUACUGAAAAUGAAAAAAAGCAGUUCAAGCAGAUUGGUAGUUCAAAAUCUAUGGCAAAAGGUAGGAAAAAGAUAUUUAAGAAGAAGUUUCAGCAUGAUUGGCUUAAGCAACCUGAGUUCAAAGCAUGGUUAUUAAAUGGGAAUAAGGAUGAUAAUGCAAUUUGUAAGGUGUGCAAUGUGGUUAUGAAGGCGGGAAAAUCAGAGCUUAAAAAGCAUGGUGAUGGAAAAGCUCAUAAAAAAAAUAUGGAGGCGUGGCUACAGAGUAAUAUUAAUCAACCUAGUAUUACAACAUUCGUUACAGAAAAUACAAAGCUGAAAAAUACCGAAGCUGCCAUUUGUUCUUAUAUCGUCGAAAACAA